GACGAACGCUGGCGGCGUGCUUAACACAUGCAAGUCGAACGGGAAUGUUUCGCUGAUGCGAUUUCGGUCAAAUCUUGAAGCAUUUUAGUGGCGGACGGGUGAGUAACGCGUGGGUAACCUGCCCUGUACAGGGGGACAACAGUUGGAAACGACUGCUAAUACCGCAUAAGCGCACAGCUUCGCAUGAAGCAGUGUGAAAAACUCCGGUGGUACAGGAUGGACCCGCGUCUGAUUAGAUAGUUGGUGAGGUAACGGCCCACCAAGUCAACGAUCAGUAGCCGGCCUGAGAGGGCGAACGGCCACAUUGGGACUGAGACACGGCCCAAACUCCUACGGGAGGCAGCAGUGGGGAACAUUGCACAAUGGAGGAAACCCUGAUGCAGCGACGCCGCGUGAGUGAAGAAGUAUUUCGGUAUGUAAAGCUCUAUCAGCAGGGAAGAAAACAAUGACGGUACCUGACUAAGAAGCCCCGGCUAACUACGUGCCAGCCGCCGCUGUAA
rnacentral:rRNA from 1 species